UACGUAGGGUGCAAGCGUUGUCCGGAUUUAUUGGGCGUAAAGAGCUCGUAGGCGGUCUGUCACGUCGGAUGUGAAAACUUGGGGCUCAACCCCGAGCUUGCAUUCGAUACGGGCAGACUAGAGGAUGGCAGGGGAGACUGGAAUUCCUGGUGUAGCGGUGGAAUGCGCAGAUAUCAGGAGGAACACCGGUGGCGAAGGCGGGUCUCUGGGCCAUUUCUGACGCUGAGGAGCGAAAGCGUGGGGAGCAAACAGGAUUAGAUACCCUGGUAGUCCACGCCGUAAACGGUGGGCGCUAGGUGUGGGACUCUUCCACGGGUUCCGUGCCGUAGCUAACGCAUUAAGCGCCCCGCCUGGGGAGUACGGCCGCAAGGCUAAA
rnacentral:rRNA from 1 species